UCUGUGCGUCUCUCAUGAAUAAAUAAAUAAAAUCUUAAAAAAAAAAAGCACAGGUGCAUAACAAUGGGUUGUCUAAAAAAUAAACAAACAAAUGAAUAAAAACAAAAAACCCCCGCAAUGGGUUGUCUACUCUGAUUUUCAAUGUCAUUGUUCCAUGGGGGGGCUUGAUGAGGAUCAGCCCAAGUUGCAGAAGGAAAGGAAUUUCCAUUUCACUGAGUCUAUUGAACCCUUUACAUACAUUUUCUACUUAACAGGAAAUACAGGAAACGAGGAAUAAGGCAAAUGCCACCACAAGGAAACACAUACAUAUAUGUCACAUCCCACAAGAGAGAUGGCCUGGUCUCUUCCAAAGUAUAUGCUGUAAAAAUAUAAAACAUAGGGGGUGCCUGGGUCGCUCAGUUGGUUAAGCAUCUGACUCUUGGUUUCAGCUUGGGUCAUGACCUCAGGAUCAUGAGAAUGAGCCCUGUGUUGAGUUCCACAUAGGGCUCCCCGCUCAGCACAGAGUCUGCUUAUCCCUUUCCCUCCCCCUCUGUCCCUCCCCUGGCACACAUGUGUACUCCUUUCCCCUGAAUGAAUCAAUAAAAUCUUAAAAAAAAAAAAAAAAAAAAGUGGUGGUAGGGGAGGCUAUUUCAGAUUAAAAAGGCCCAAAGGGCCGUAACAACCAAACUCCGUGGAAAAGAAUCUUGAAUAGAUCCUGAUUUGGUGCAAAAAUAAAACAGCCCUCAAAGACAUUUUGGAGGAAAACUGAAGAAUCUGAAUAUGGAUUGGACGGGUAGGACCGUAUAUAUGUAGGUAUGUAUAUACACACACCACCCUCACCUUAGUUUAGUUCUGCCCUAUUUUCUGGCAUGUCUGUUGGCAGGGCAGGGGUGGUGGUGGUGUCUGGUCCCCUUCUUCAAUGUGGCGCCUCCCUCAGGGCAGCCCCAGGCAAGACACUCAGCAGGGAGGGAGACAGAGAUGAGGCUUCAGUGCCACCACCAUCAUUGGUCAUCUCUGCCCCUUUGCUCAUCUCAUGCCACCCACUGAACCUUCCCUCUUGCCUCUCCUCCACAUCCAAGUACCCCUCUCCAGGAUCUCAGUUCCAGGCACACCUCCUCCAGGAAGGCUCCUCCAAUCCCUUUGCUGACCUCUCUAUCGCAGUCCUGAGUUCUGGCCUGCCUGAAGGGUAUGUAUGUCUAGACCCAUCUUCCAUCCUGGAAUGGAAGAGAGAGGCAGCUCCCUGAAGGAGAGAGUGAGGGGGUAUCUUUGCAAGCCUCAACACUCACAUGCAGUUCCUGGCGGCCAGGUCUCGGUGUAUGAAUCUCUUGGUACUCAGAUACUCCAUGCCACUGGCGAUGUCUGCCAUGAACUUCACCAGCAUCUGAGUGGGCAGGAACUGGGGGCAGAGCAGGAGGGAGUCGAGGUCGGCCAAGACCCUGAGAUCCAGCACUCCUCCCUCCCUUCUUCCCUGCAGUGGUGUCCCAUGGCUCCAAGAAUUAAAUCUAACAUCUUUCCAAUAAGGCCCUGUACAAUCUCCUCCUGCCCUCCCCACCAAGUUGAUCUAAUGUUAUUGCCUGGGACAUGUGACCUUCACUCCAGCAAGGGGCCUCCUUUCUGGUUUUCAGACAGAUUAUGCUUGUUCCCACCUCUAAGCCUUUGCCUAUGCUGUGCCCUCUGCCAGCACCCCUUCCCUCCAGGUCUCCCCACCUCCUGCUGGUUGCCUCUUCCUUCAAGAUUGCCUCCUCAGUAAGACCUUUUCUGUCCACCCAAACUAACUGCCUGGACUCUCUGUGGCUCAUCUGACUCUAUUUCCUUCCUGGCACCUAAAAUUAUCUUGCUUAUUUGUUAACUUAUUUGUUGCCUGGACCCCUCACGGCAGACAGCUCUAUGAGGGCAAGUUCUUGGUCACCAUGGUCUGAUCAGUGCUGGGUACCUAACAGGUGCUCAAUUAACACCUGUAGACCAGACAAGGAAACGUCCCUCACCACUGGCUGGUCCCCAAGCCGGGAAUAGAGAAGGAAACUGUGCAGGUCUCCAUGCUUCAUGAAAGGUAAGAUGACCACCGGUGCCGGGAAGCCCUCUCGUUCGGAACCCUGGAAACAGACGCCUGAGCCCCCCCCACCGCCAGGCAGCCCCUGUCAUUCCAGUUGGACAGAGAGGGGAAGACAUCCCCUCCCUCCACUCUGUCUCUCCCUCCCCCUCAAAUCUUCCAAAUUGUUGGGGGUGGGACGGGUGGGGUGGCAAGGACCAAGCUUCAGAGAAGCCGAUUGUAGCACUGUUCCCAGGGAAGUUUCCAGAGCCCUCCUGGGGACCUCAGCUAUUUCUGGGAAAGGUCAGAGGUCACAUUCCAAGCUGAGAGAAAGAAGGAGGAGGGGAGCUUGCUGAUUCUGAAGGAGGGGGAAGCAGAGAGCCUAGAGGUUUGAUCUUCCCAGUGCCAGAGGGAGGGGUCUUCCUUCUGGAGUGGCCUCAAUGGGGCCUGUAGAGCCCCCUAAAUCUGCCCCUCCCUCACCAAUGAGCCUCAUCACGUUGGGGUGGUCAAAUUCCUUCAUGCAGACAGCUUCACUCAGGAAAUCCUCCAGCUCCGACCUUGUGCAGAUAGCAACUUGGGGGAGAGAGAAAGGUGGAUAAGGAGGAGGGGAGGGAGGACCCUUUCUCCCCUCCUCUCUUUCAUCAUCAUCCUCUUCAUCAAACAUGAUUACUAAGUACCUGGUGCCACACUCUAGCACUUUCUAUAUAUUAACUCAUUUAACCCUCUGAGGUUCUCCCUGUUUUAAUGAUAGGGAAGCCAAAGCACAGAACGGUCAGGAAAUCUGCCUAAGGGCACACACAGCUUACAAGUGAAUUAGGCAGAAUCAGAAGCCUGGUGGUCCGGCUCUGAGGUCCCUGUGCACACACCAUGCUAGGUUGCUUCCCUGGGGAUCCAUACGAUUUCUCCCUUUUUAUAACUCAGGACACUGGCUCAUAGUGGCAAAGCGAGUUGCCCAAGGUCACACGGCUGGGAUUCAAACCGAGGUGAAGAGCAUAACCUGGUACGUAAGAAGUGCUCAAUAAUGAAUGAAUGGGGAGAGACUGAUAACCCCACAACCCAGGCUUUUUGCCCCAGUGAUGCAGAAAGGAUCCUUCCUCCCUCACCACCAGCGGCAGCCUGACCCUCAGUGCCUCUUCCCUGUAUGGAAGGGGCUUGGUCCCAGACUUCCUGUGCUGUGUGACCCUGGACUGGCUCCCACCGUCCCUGACCAUGUAAAUAAUACAGCCACACUCCACAUUCAUUGCACAUAACUACAUACGGUUCCCAGCAUUAAGUGCUUUGGCUCACCCUAGGAAACAAGGACAUUAUGAUCCUUUUUUUCCAGAUGAACGGCAGGCAGCUCAGAGAGGCAGAGUCACUUGCCUGAGAUCACACAGCUGGCUAAUGAAGCCAGGUGUGCCUCAUUCCAGACCUUCCCUGUUCUGUUAGGCCUUGCUGCUGCUAAUCUCCAGGUGGCCUCGCUGCUCCAUGUCAUUCCUAUGCCUUUGUAGUAAAGGUCCCCAUAUUAAAUUCCUUCUUUUGAAGUACCUAGUGUGGACUCCAUUUCCUGCCCAGAAACCCUGGGAUUCUGUGACAGGGCUAAUUUGCUACUCACUUUUCUGCUCUUCUGCCUCGUUGGGGGCAUAGGGAAAAGGCCUACAGUUAUGGGGUAAGGGUCCCAUCCACAUGGACACACAAGUACAGACUCACUCUUCAUUGUCUUCACAGCCACCUUGAGGAUAGAGUCAUCCUGGUUGAGCUGGCCCUCCAUCACUGCUCCAAAUUCUCCUGUGGGGGACCAGAGGGAGAUAUUGACCUCAGGGGGGCUUGUGGGGACUGCAUUUCCUGUGACUGGGUAGGAGUGGGGAAGUGAAGGACUUCAUGGUUCAGGGGGAUGUGUGUGUGUGUGUGUGUGUGUGUGUGUGUACUCUGGGUGAGGGGGCAGGGGGAGGACUCACCUUCUCCCAGGGUCUUCCCCAGCGCCACCUUAUGCCGGUCCACCAUCACAUCCCGAAGCUUCUCCUUCAGCUCUUCACUGAUGCCCAGGCUGUUCACUGCAUGGGAGAUGGGGGUGGACAGAGCCAUGCAGCAGGGCUGACACUCAGAUGAGGAAACAGAGGCCCAGAGAGGUUCAGCAGCUUGCCCGAAGCCACACAGAGUCCUGUGUGGUGAGGAUAGCACCAUGAGGCCUGGCCAGGCACAGCAGGAAGUGAGCUCUGGAGAAGGAAGAGGACACACUUCUGCUUUCCUUUGCCACUGGACGCAUGUGGGUUAGGGGUACGGCUGAUGCCUGACCUGGCAUUUGAGGUCUCCCAAAUGGGCCCAGUCUCGGUGAUUGAAUCAGUUUUAUCUUUUUUUGGCCAAUGGGAUAGGUCACUUCCCCUCUCUGGGCCUCAGUUCCUUCCCUUGAAAACGGGAAGAUUAGCAGAUUAUUUUCUAGGUUGUUUUUUUUUAAUUUUAAUUUUAAUUUUUAUU